rnacentral:rRNA from 1 species
AGUGAACGCUGGCGGUAGGCCUAACACAUGCAAGUCGAACGGCAGCACAGUAAGAGUUUGCUCUUACGGGUGGCGGGUGGCGGACGGGUGAGGAAUACAUCGGAAUCUACUUUUUCGUGGGGGAUAAGGUAGGGAAACUUAAGCUAAUACCGCAUACGACCUACGGGUGAAAGCAGGGGAUCUUCGGACCUUGUGCGAUUGAAUGAGCCGAUGUCGGAUUAGUUAGUUGGGGGGGUAAAGGCCCACCAAGGCGAGGAUCCGUAGCUGGUCGGAGAGGAUGAUAAGCCCCACUGGAACUGAGACACGGUCCAGACUACUACGGGAGGCAGCAGUGGGGAAUAUUAGACAAUGGGCGCAAGCCUGAUCCAGCCAUACCGCGUGGGUGAAGAAGACCUUCGGGGUGUAAAGCCCUUUUGUUGGGAAAGAAAAGCAGCAGAUUAAUACCCCGCUGGUCUGACGGUACCCAAAGAAUAAGCACCGGCUAACUUCGUG